rnacentral:rRNA from 1 species
GAUGAACGCUAGCGGCAGGCCUAACACAUGCAAGUCGAGGGGCAUCGCGGUGCAGCAAUGCACUGGCGGCGACCGGCGUACGGGUGCGUAACGCGUAUGCAACCUGCCCCGCACCGGGGGAUAGCCCGCCGAAAGGCGGAUUAAUACCCCAUGGUCCCGGGGGCCCGCAUGGGCAUCCGGGUAAAGCCUUGGCGGUGCGGGAUGGGCAUGCGUGCCAUUAGCUGGCUGGUGGGGUAACGGCCCACCAGGGCAACGAUGGCUAGGGGGUCUGAGAGGAUGGUCCCCCACACUGGUACUGAGACACGGACCAGACUCCUACGGGAGGCAGCAGUGAGGAAUAUUGGUCAAUGGGCGGAAGCCUGAACCAGCCAUGCCGCGUGCAGGAAGGAGGCCCUACGGGUUGUAAACUGCUUUUACCCGGGAAGAAACCGCCCCCUGUGGGGGGCGUUGCCGGUACCGGGGGAAAAAGGAUCGGCUAACUCCGUG